rnacentral:rRNA from 1 species
UACGAAGGGGGCUAGCGUUGUUCGGAAUCACUGGGCGUAAAGGGCGCGUAGGCGGCCAUAUAAGUCGGGGGUGAAAGCCUGUGGCUCAACCACAGAAUUGCCUUCGAUACUGUAUGGCUCGAGACCGGAAGAGGUAAGUGGAACUGCGAGUGUAGAGGUGAAAUUCGUAGAUAUUCGCAAGAACACCAGUGGCGAAGGCGGCUUACCGGUCCGGUUCUGACGCUGAGGCGCGAAAGCGUGGGGAGCGAACUGG